rnacentral:tRNA from 1 species
GUUGUGGCACAGUGGUAGAGUACUUGCCUAGCAAGUGCAAGGUCCUGGGUUCAAUCCACAGAACAACA